rnacentral:rRNA from 1 species
AACGAACGCUGGCGGCAUGCCUAACACAUGCAAGUCGAACGAGACCUUCGGGUCUAGUGGCGCACGGGUGCGUAACGCGUGGGAACCUGCCCUUAGGUUCGGAAUAACUCCCCGAAAGGGGUGCUAAUACCGGAUAAUGUCUUCGGACCAAAGAUUUAUCGCCUUUGGAUGGGCCCGCGUUGGAUUAGCUAGUUGGUAGGGUAAAAGCCUACCAAGGCGACGAUCCACAGCUGGUCUGAGAGGAUGAUCAGCCACACUGGGACUGAGACACGGCCCAGACUCCUACGGGAGGCAGCAGUGGGGAAUAUUGGACAAUGGGCGAAAGCCUGAUCCAGCAAUGCCGCGUGAGUGAUGAAGGCCUUAGGGUUGUAAAGCUCUUUUACCCGGGAUGAUAAUGACAGUACCGGGAGAAUAAGCUCCGGCUAACUCAGU